UACGUAGGUGGCAAGCGUUAUCCGGAAUUACUGGGCGUAAAGCGCACGCAGGUGGUUGACUAAGUUUGACGUGAAAGCGCCUGGCUUAACUGGGCGAGGUCGUUGGAGACUGGUCGACUUGAGGCGAGGAGAGGGGUGUAGAAUUCCCGGUGUAGUGGUGGAAUGCGUAGAUAUCGGGAGGAAUACCAGUGGCGAAAGCGGCACCCUGGCCUUGGCCUGACACUCAUGUGCGAAAGCGUGGGGAGCAAACGGGAUUAGAUACCCCGGUAGUCCACGCCGUAAACGAUGAAUACUAGGUGUAGGUUGUCUCAAAAUGAUCUGUACCGCAGCUAACGCGAUAAGUAUUCCGCCUGGGGAGUACGGCCGCAAGGCUAAA
rnacentral:rRNA from 1 species